GCGGGUUUAGCCCAAUCGGUAGAGGCAACGGACUUAAAAUCCGUCCUGUAUGGGUUCGAGUCCCAUAACCCGCACCA
rnacentral:tRNA from 1 species